UACAGAGGGUGCGAGCGUUAAUCGGAAUUACUGGGCGUAAAGCGCACGUAGUCGGCUUUGCAAGUCGGGUGUGAAAUCCCCGGGCUCAACCUGGGAACUGCAUCCGAGACUGCAUUGCUAGAGUAUGGGGAGAGGGAAGCGGAAUUUCUGGUGUAGCAGUGAAAUGCGUAGAUAUCAGAAGGAACAUCAGUGGCGAAAGGCG
rnacentral:rRNA from 1 species